UGCAAGGCUAGAGUUUGGCAGAGGGGGGUAGAAUUCCACGUGUAGCGGUGAAAUGCGUAGAUAUGUGGAGGAACACCGAUGGCGAAGGCAGCCCCCUGGGUCAAAACUGACGCUCAUGCACGAAAGCGUGGGGAGCAAACAGGAUUAGAUACCCUGGUAGUCCACGCCCUAAACGAUGUCUACUAGUUGUUGGGUUU
rnacentral:rRNA from 1 species